GCUAUAAAAGGCACGCCUAUACAAAGGAAGACGGAAAAGAUUGACAUUUCAGGAGAGGCCAAAAGUGUAAAGGGAUAAAUGAAGGAACUAUUAAUUUUGAUAUCAACCUUGAUCUCAUAUCAAGUAAUUUGUGAAACACAGUUGGAUCCCGGAUCCUUGAGAGUAAUAAACGGCACAUGUCAUUUCCGAAAUACGGUUAUUUCAGACGGGUAUACACAGACAAGUAAGCGUCCAUGUGAAAGGUGGCGCUGCUACGCAAACGAGUCGAGAGUCGUAAUGCAGGGGUGCCCUCCUCCUAGCUUCUACGAUCCUUAUCUCACCUACCCCGGUGGAUGGCCUUUUUGCUGUGGCACAAACCCUCAGUGAUAUUCCUUGUACGAUUCGUUUCAGGCUACGUAAAAUUCAUAGAAUUCGCCUUGAGCAUUCCACACUUUUGUGAUAACCUAUUGGUGGCUACUUCAGGAAACUCAGUAUAACCAACUAGAUGAAAGAAAACAACAAAUCUGCAUUAUAUUGCUUUAUUAUUUCCAUUGCAAUCACCUUUAUUUAGCGAUAUUCUGUUAUGGUGGGCUUUUCCAUACAGUUGGUUCGUAAUUGAAAAUAAAAAAGUUAUCUUCAAGAAGGUUUCU